rnacentral:rRNA from 1 species
UACGUAGGGUGCGAGCGUUAAUCGGAUUCACUGGGCGUAAAGGGUGCGUAGGUGGCCAGGUAAGUUCGGUGUGAAAGCUCGGAGCUUAACUCCGAAAUGGCAUUGAAUACUAUCUGGCUAGAGGGUCGGAGGGGAGACUGGAAUUCUCGGUGUAGCAGUGAAAUGCGUAGAUAUCGAGAGGAACACCAGUGGCGAAGGCGGGUCUCUGGGCCGAUACUGACGCUGAGGAGCGAAAGCGUGGGGAGCGAACAGG